GCCGGCAGCUAGCUCUCUGCAACUCUCACAUGGUCGCCCACUGAAGCUAAGCAGGGCUGCGCCUGGUCAGUACCUGGAUGGGAGACCACUUGGGAAAGCUAGGUUGCUGCCGGAA
rnacentral:rRNA from 1 species